UACGAAGGGGGCUAGCGUUGCUCGGAAUCACUGGGCGUAAAGGGUGCGUAGGCGGGUCUUUAAGUCAGGGGUGAAAUCCUGGAGCUCAACUCCAGAACUGCCUUUGAUACUGAAGAUCUUGAGUUCUGGAGAGGUGAGUGGAACUGCGAGUGUAGAGGUGAAAUUCGUAGAUAUUCGCAAGAACACCAGUGGCGAAGGCGGCUUACUGGUCCGGAACUGACGCUGAGGUGCGAAAGCUAGGGGAGCAAACAGG
rnacentral:rRNA from 1 species